GUUUUAAACUACCAUCAAACGUUCCUAAGAUAAUCUGAUGAUUUUUUUUUUAUUAUUUAUUGGACUUAUAUGUUUUUUCAGCAGACACCUCAUGUAAAAAAUUCUCUAUUUAAGGAGAAAAAAGUCCUUUUUUCUGAUCUUUUUUUCUUGUUUUCAACAGAUCAGCUCAUUAACAAAACAAAUUUGAAUGAAAGUGGAUGGAAUCACAGGUUUUAAACUACUAUCAAAUGUUCUUAAGGUCAUUAAGGAAACAGAUUUGAAUGAAACUGGGUGGAGUCACAGGUUUUAAUGUACCAUCAAACGUUCCUAAGAUCAGGUCAUUAAGGAAACAGAUUUGAAUGAAACUGGAUGGAGUCACAGAUCAGCUCAUUAACAAAACAAAUUUGAAUGAAAGUGGAUGGAAUCACAGGUUUUAAACUACUAUCAAAUGUUCUUAAGGUAAGCUGAAGAUUUUUAGUUUUUUAUCAGGCUUAG